GCCUGGGUGGCUCAGUCGGUUAAGCAUCUGACUUUGAUUCAGGUCAUGAUCUCACGGUUCGUGAGUUCAAGCCCUGCAUCAGGCU
rnacentral:tRNA from 1 species